GGAGAAAUCACAUCCCCUGAACUCUCAGCUAUGGAAAGGCCUGGCUCUUGGCACAGUUACCGGGUAUUACCAGAGACAACACAGCUACGAAGAUCCUUGUGAACUCUAGUUUGUGCAUGAGUGGUUCCCUGAAACAGCAUGGCAACAGAGUUGUAAAGCUAGCAGCUCUGCAAACAGCACCUGCAUGAUGAUUUCAGUGUCAGGAAAGCCUCUACACCAGAGCAGCCCCCUUCUUCUGCUUGCUACAGAAAACUGCAACCCAAGAAGCUUCUACUUCUUGUCUUCUGGAACUCUAUCUGGGGUCUCUGAGUUGCUGAAAAGAAGCCUGACUACCCACCUACACAUGCUAGAGAACAUCUAGACACUCCAUUCCCACCAAUGUGUUAAACAUUGAGUGAGCUGUCUUAGACCAUACUUACUCAUUCACCAGAUGAAUUCCACCUAGUGACUUCAGUUUAUAUCACGUGAAGAAGAAAAAUUGCCAACCUGAGCCCUUUCCGAAUUCCUGAUCCAAAAUCAUUAGAUAAAAUAAAAUGCCAGUUGUUUUAA
rnacentral:lncRNA from 1 species